UACGUAGGGCGCAAGCGUUAUCCGGAAUUAUUGGGCGUAAAGAGCUCGUAGGCGGUUUGUCGCGUCUGCCGUGAAAGUCCGGGGCUCAACUCCGGAUCUGCGGUGGGUACGGGCAGACUAGAGUGAUGUAGGGGAGACUGGAAUUCCUGGUGUAGCGGUGGAAUGCGCAGAUAUCAGGAGGAACACCAAUAGCGAAGGCAGCUCGCUGGGACGUUACUGACACUGAGGCGCGAAAGCGUGGGGAGCGAACAGG
rnacentral:rRNA from 1 species